rnacentral:lncRNA from 1 species
CUGGUCGCCGAUGUUGCCGACGAUGACGUAGCCGGCGUCCACCAGCUUCUUCCGCUCGCCGGACUUGAAGCCGACGGCGGAGGCCUUGAAGCCGACGGGCUUGAGCAGCAGCUUCAUCCACCCGGAGUAGCCUUGGCGGCGGAGGUUGGCGACGGUGAUGGCCCUCUGGUCCUCGGUGCGGCCCGUCAGGAACACCGGCUUGAUGCCGAGCGCGAUGAGCUUGUUGUACAGCCGCUGCGUCUCCGGCAGCACCGGCGCGCUCCCCUCCAGCACGUACGCGUUGAAGCUCGUCGCGUUGUACGGCUUCGUGCUGGGUAAGCAUGCAUGGAAAAAGAAGACAAUGCAAACUCAUCACUUGUCUACUCUCUACAAAUCACACACUGGUUUUACGUUACGGUCCUUUCAUACAUGACAAACUGGUGUGUCCAGUUCUGAAACAACUUUAUUAGAAAUGGAGCACACACGAUCGUGUGAACCGUGGGCGAUCUUUUGGAUAUGACACUUGCGAAAACGAUAAGAUUUUGUAGCCAGCACGCAUUGGCAAAAGGCCAAACGGACCACGUACGCUAGUCCUAAUCGAUAUGGCACGCACAAUCUCAUCGACGACGUCUCCAUGUGGCAUCGGACACAUGCAUGCGUCCUAAGGGGGUGUUUGUUUUUUUAGUCGCUCCUAAAAUUUCUGUCACAUCGAAUGUUUAGAUACUAAUUAGGAGUAUUAAAUAUAGACUAAUUACAAAACUAAUUGCACAGAUGGAGACUAAUUGGCGAGACGAAUCUAUUAAGCCUAAUUAGUUCAUGAUUUGACAAUGUGAUGCUACAGUAAACAUGUGCUAAUGAUGGAUUAAUUAGGCUUAAUAGAUUCGUCUCGUGAAUUAGCCUCCAUCUGUGUAAUUAGUUUUAUAAUUAGCUCAUAUUUAGUCCUCCUAAUUAGCCUCCAAAUAUUCGAUGUGACAUAAAUUUUAGGAGGUCCUAAAGAUCCAAACACCCCCUAAGACUCCAAGAGAUCUGUCCCUUUCCCAUCACAGAGAAAGAGAAGGACGAUGAGAAUUAUAAAGGAGAGCCAUACGUUUUUUAAUCCUACUAUCUUGAGAUAUAGAGAAAGAUAUUAUAUUAUUAUGACAUCAGCUAGAGCUAAUAACCAGCAGAAUAUAGCGGCUCCCAAGAGCUCUCCUGCCAUAACCGCUACAACAAAAAUAUCAAGCUAUAGCGGAAUCUAACUGGCGCUUUUAAUGGCUGAAGAAGACUGCCGCUAAAUCCUAGUCCUCUAUUUAAAGCACUAAGCUAGCUCACUAUUGCUUUUCUCUAGAAUCAGUACACAUGUUCUGGUGCAUAUACGUACAAGACAAAACAUACAGAUAUGACGUGUAGUGUACGUGGCAAUGCCUUUGUUCUUGUUUGUUUUGGCUUUUCUAGACGCAUAAUUUUUUAUAUUCACCUAGGUAGAUAUUAGAUUUUCUAGACGCAUAACUUUAGAUAUUCACCUAGAUAGAUAUUAGAGCAACUUGUCAGGUGGGUACAGAUUGGUCAAACAACUUAUAAAAUGCUCAAUCUAGUACAAUAACUUGUAAAAUGGGUGCAAUUUAGUCCAACAACUUGUAAAAUGCUCAAUUUAGUAUAUUAACUUGAUAGGUGGCUGCAGAUUAGUCCAACAAUUUUAAAAAAUUCAAGUUUGAGUAUUUUACAAACUGUUGAACCAAUCUACACUCACCCGAUGUAUUUACUCUAUAUAUUAUAUCUAUAUAUAUAGCAAAAGUUAGAUACGUGAAAAAAUCAAAAUGAAUAGUAUUUUGAGCCGGCGGUACAUAUACGCAGGCACAUGAGCUGGCCGGUUAACAUGAUUAAUUAGUAUGUGCCAUGACAUGGAUUCCUAGGUGCCAUGCGUUGAAUCGCGAACAACGUUACGUACCCGAAGCCGUGGGUGGCGUAGUAGGGGAGGUUGGAGAGGGACGUCUCGUCGAUGUCGAACACCCACACCUCCUUGCCCUUGCCGCCGAGCUUGAGCCCCUCGGCGUACGCGACGGCCUCGUUGACGACAACGCGGGAGUCUCGGCGGUAGUGCCCGCCGAGCAUGUAGUGGCCGACGUAGCCCUCGCAGUCGGCCGGCACGGUCCGCCAGUCGCGCUUGUUGUACGCCUCCACCGCCAGCCGCCAGCUGUCGCACGGCACGCCGCCGCGCCGGCCGAGGUCACCGGCGGAGCCCACCAUCGGGCGCAGCGCGUGAAUCAACGGCGCCUUCUGGCUCUCAUCCGCGGCCGCCUGGACGGCCCACGCGCUGCCGGCCACGAGGACCACGAGGAGGACGAGCCUGGCCGUCGUCGCCGUCUCCAUGGCCACUCUGCUAGAGCUAGCCGAGACUGUACAGUGUGUGCUGUUUUGCUUGUGGAGACGAGCACCUGCCCCGCCGGUACGCGCGCGUGAGCUUUAAUAGAAGGUGCUUGCCUGCGCAACGGAUCUAGCGGGGCUCACAUGUCACCUGGUCAUCAGCACGCGAGUCGCUAAAUUUUUUGUUGUUUUCUAGAUUUUCUCACGCUAACUUUAUAAUUCCUUAAUUUAUGUAUAUAUAAAAAUAUUAUAAAUUGUAUGAGAACAAAAAAUCUGAAAAACAAACGUGGGGUUGUCUCGUAGUUCCAAUAUGGACAAUUGUUUCGCAAAAGAAGAUCGAUUCUUCCCUCUGCCUCCAUAUGUAAUUUUUAAAAAUAUUACUCCGUUUCAAAUUGUAAGCCGUUUUGACUUUUCUAGAUUCAUAGAUAUUUGUUGUAAGAACUAUAUAUGCACCUAGAAAAAUCAAAACGACUUACUCCCUUCGUCCCAUAAAAAAUGCAAUUCUAAUUUUUCUAUCCGUCCCAUGAAGAAUGCAAUUCUAGUUUUUCUAAGACUAAUUGAAAAGACUCCAAUGCCCUAAUUUGUUAGCCACAUGCAGUAAAUUUUGACAUGCAAAUCAGAUCUGAUCACUUAAUUAAACAGGCAGUUAGAUUUAUUUCCUAGGAUUAUUGCACUUUUUUGUGGGAUUUUUUCAAAUACUAGAAUGGUACCUUUCAUGGGAUGGAGAGUGCAAUUUGGGAGUACAUGAUAUUGCAUAAAUUUAUUUACGAGUCUGCCCAGUCACCGCAUGCAUGCAAGGCUGCUUAUUUGGCGGACCGCCCGCUGGCCGUGCUCCUCCCUCAGCACCGACGACGUGUGGCAACGUCCUGGCCUUACCAUGACAAGGACGGUUUGUCUCCUGCACUUUGGGCUCUGCCAAUGGCCUUGUAAGCUUCUUGGAGGAAAAAAAGAACUUCUAUGCGAAUCUCCUGUCAUUCAGAAUUUAUACACACACGUGAGUAGCACUUACAGUGUGUGCUACUGUGCUUACAGUUUUAGUUGUAUGUAUGCACGCGCGCCCUUGUAAAUUGUAAAUUUGUAAUGGAUAAAAAUGACUGCUUAUUUGGGGGGUUUUCCGUCUCUUGGCCGCAUUCUUUUGUAUGCGCACGAUUACAGAUUUGCCUCUUUUUGCCUUGUCGAUCUGAUCCCUCGAUAUAUGCCUCAUGCAUACGGCACUGCUACACCCGUCGUGUCAACUGCUGCUCGAAUCAGAUCCUAUACAGGCAUCCAGAGCACCACUGCUUUUUCUCUGAGCUGACCUGCAGAAAAGAAAGGGCUUCAGAUUAGGUCCUUUGAAAUUCCUAUGUUGUAGGCUGUAUGUUCCACGAAAAAGGCGCUAACCAUUAUUGCACAUGUGUGCUAAAGUACUAUAGAAAUUUCAUGGAAAAAAACCACUCUAGACAUGUCAGUUUUAAUCACAGUGUUCAUCUGUUUUUUAAUCAAAAGAAGCUGAUUUUGCUCUCGACAUGUUAUCUAGAAUACUCAAGUUCAUUCCUACUUUGAUACUCCCGUUUAGGGUGUUUUUUGGAAACCUCUUAGAUCAUACUACAUUUUUUUAGGCAAAAACUAUGGGGAAGUUCUUCACAGCACUUCAUUUCAAAAAUUAAGAAAGGCACAAGGACAGGAGAUGAGGGGGGAUUAAGUUACACUAGUGUCUCUAGCCAUUGAAUAAAAACUAUCUACAGGUGAUCAUACUACAUUAAUGAUAUUUUGCCCAAGGGAACAGACCUCGGCCUCCUGAGCCGCUCGCCCGAGCGCCUCAGGGGGCGAACCUGCCCGUACACUGCGAGCCCCCCCUCCCCCGGUGCCAUCCCCGCCUGCCGCCGUCGCUCUGGCCAUAGCUCGCGAUGGCGGCAGGCUCUCAACCCGCAGCAGUGGCCUCGGCUCGCUCCCCUCCCUCCCUUUCUCCCCGUUUUGCUAUUUCUUGCCCCAGAUCCAGAUCUUGUUGAUUCAAAUCUUGGUCGCCCUCAUCUUCGGCUUCCUUCCCCCGCCUACCUUGGUGUCUGCGCCUCUGCUCAGGCCGACGCUACCUCCUUUCCUCGCUCGUCGGAUUCGCAGGCCCCCUGUGCUGGCCUCUAGUCUGGGGCCUCCGUCGGCGGUGAUGCAUCCUGAGGUUUGGAGGUGUGGUUGGAAGGUGGCUGAGCUGCUGGGAGGGAUUCAUAGACGGCUUGUGCCUACUCCGUCGCUCCUCCGAUGGCAGAUCUGCGCAGCCUCCUCCUGGGUCGUCUGGUUCGCUGUCCCCCUGUGCUGGCUCCCUUACCGGGGCCCGUCGCUGGCGAUGCUCAAUGGGUGGGGGUUGCUGUUGGCAGGGCUCAACGGUGGUGCCCUGAGCCGUCCCUCUCCCGUGCCGCCGGCUGCAGAUCCACGCAGUGCUCCGCUGGCAGGGCUAUCCGUAUGCUGCUGGGUCUGCACUCAUCCCCGCCGCCUCCGGCUAUGUGCGUCCUGCUCACGACCUCGGUGACUCGGCAUGGUCGGUGCGGCAGCUGCAAUGCGAGGGUUCUGGGUGAUGUGCAAUGAAAGUGCCGCACUCAGUGCGCGGAGAGCGCGGUAGGUGCCAAGCACCUCUGCAUGAUCUAGGCAAGUUCCUUUCUUCAUGUUCUGGUCGGAUGCCGUCCAGCGCAAGCGUCGCGCCCGAUGUGUGGGGAGGUGCCCGGACCUCUGUAUGGCCCGACCUAGGGUGUUAUCUCUGGCAUCUUGUGCAGCUUGAUGGUUCUGCUUGUUGUUGUGUGCUUCUGAGGCCAACCGUGAAUGUUGGGUUUGCCCCGGUGAAUCGAUUGGGUGCUAAUGAUUCGAUUCAGGUGGGGCUUAGCCCUCCCGUUGCCGACACUCAUCGGCGGUCGGUGGUGGUUCCUUCAUUCGUGUGCCUAAUUUGCUUCUUCUUUGUCGAGUGAGCGUGCGUUGCGAUUGUAAUUCUUUGUGGCUCCCUUUCUUCUUCUGCCAAUUUGUAUCCUGAUCACCACCCCAGUUUGGGAGUGGCUGCGUGAUGUAAUAUCUCCUUUGAUGGAACGAAAAUGUUCAGGUGGGCUUACUUAGCCCCGCUUGAUUCCUCAAAAAUACUACAUUCAUGUAGACGUAAAACAUUUUAGUCCCAUAUAUGCAGAUGUUAUGUCACAUUUAGAUUUUAAAGCAUAUAUAUAUAGAUAGCACACACGCUAUCUACAGGUGAUUCCUUGCCACGAGAAAGGAUGCGUGUAUCAGGUUUAGCUUGUUCUCUUUUCAUGUAGUAAUGAACACUGGUCGCGGCCGGCCGGGCGCAUCUUUCUGCAGUUCGUCACGGGGCCGCAUGUCUGGGCCGGGCUGAAGUUGGCACACACGUCGAGUUCCGGAAGAUGCAUGCGGCCGAAGGGGCCAAGGCGCAUGCAAAGCACAUGUGCUGAUCAUGGCUGGGGCCGGGCUUGUUUGUACCAGCAUCCGGAAAAUGCAAAACUGUACAUGUGACCCUACGAACUUAUUGAUUUCUCUUUUCAUCCGACCGUUGAUCUAGUACCUACCCAUAAAUUUCUUACCUACUCAUAUCCAUUUCACCGUUAAUUUAAAAAUAAAUGAUUUGGAUAGCUCGUGUAGUCAUAUGUGAAAAAUCCAUAGCAGCAGCGCAGGUACUCAAUCAUGCUCUUUUGGCGUUUCCACAAAUUAUUUUAAUUCCACGAUAUGCCGUGAUACAUACUGUGGUCCUUUUGAAAAACCACGUACUGUGGUCCUGGAUGUGUCCUUUUUGUGCUCUUGUUAGUUUGAUUUUUUUAGUGAAAAAAAGGGAGCUUUCCAGAUUCCAAACCCACGAUAUAUCAGGCUCUCUCCAACGGACAUCGCCAACAUGCGUAAGUAUUUUCGGUGAACAUGGAGGGAAGAGAGAGAGAGGGAGAGGAGGGAAAAAAACAUCUACUAGAUCGUUUUCGUUUUUCUAGGUGUAUAAAUAUUAUUAUAUAUCUACAUAUAGUGUAUGUUUAGAUGCAUAAUAAUAUCUAUGAAUCUAGAAAAAUCAAAAUAACCUACAAUUUGGAACGGAGCGAGUAGCUGGCAGCAAUCUCAAAUCAUCAAUCGCACAAAAUUUGGAUAACAAAAUAGGAAAGCAUACAAGCAGUUAUUUUUUUCUCUUCACAAAUUUAAGAGGCUUGUAGCACGUGCUGUACACUAUUUGGGACGGGGAAAAUACUUUGUGGAUGGUGCACAUGCAUGAGCUUUAUUUGAACAGAGGCGGCAUACCUACAACGUAUUUGGUUUGGGAUGCCGGGUGAUCCGGAAUCAUCCGAACCUAGAACUGAAGCUAGCCGAGCCGUUUGGUUCGCAUCGCCGGAAGAGCUCAUCCGUCAUCGACUGCUUCCAUCUAGCGCUAAUCAACCAUUAGAUAUUCAGAUGGAACCAUUCUGUUUGGAGGGGAGCCGGCCCAUGCCGCACCGCAUCAACCGCUAAACCAAACACGCUAUUAAAGAUCGAGUUGAAGUCCAACUGACUGACGCAUCUACAUGGGGGACUGACGCAUGAUGAGGGUGUGAUAAAAAAUAAAAAGCAGCUCAUCACAAACAAACACUACAAACCCCUGAAUCAUGGACAGAUUAUUGAUGGAUUGACGACGUAGAGCCGUUGGAUGCUCGACCGGCCGGUGUUGUCGAGCGGGUCCUAGCUCAUUAGCCGAUGUAGUAGAGGGGGUCGGGCAGCUUGAAGGUGCGCGCCCCCUCCGGCGCGCCGAGGAUGUCGCUCCACUGGUCGCCGAUGUUGCCGACGAUGACGUAGCCGGCGUCCUGGAGCUUCCGGCGCUCGUCGGACUUGAAGCCGAUGGCGGUGCCAUUGUACCCGACGGGCUUGAGCAGGAGCUUCAUCCAGCCGGAGUAGCCCUCGCGGCGGAGGUUGGCGACGGUGAUGGCCCUCUGGUUCUCUCUGCGGCCCGUCAGGAACACCGGCGUGAUGCCGAGAGAGAUGAGCUUGUUGUACAGCCGCUGCGUCUCCGGCAGCACCGGCGCGCUUCCCGCAAACACGUACGCGUUGAAGCUCGUCGCGUCGUACGGCUUCGUGCUGUGUGGUAGCAAUAGCAUGCAUGGAAGAAGACAAGUGGAGACCAUUAGAUCAGCAAAUAAACUCAUUACUUGGAUAAUCUACAAAUCAUUCACUGCCGGUAGUUCCUCCAUUUCAAAUUAUUGAUCGUUUUAGUUUUUUUAUAAAUUCAUAGAUUAUGCUAAAAAUCUCGUACACAUGCAUAGAAAAACUAUGAAAUAAAAAAGCUAAAACAAACUGUAGUUUAGGAUGGAGGGAGUAUUUGUCGUAGGAACCGCUGUGUAUAGUUCUAAAACGACUUUAUUACAAAUGGAGGACCGGUAAAAAAUAUCUACUGUUGUAUGAUGCCCACUGGUCGUCGUCCUAUACUGACUGUCUCUCAUCGACGUGACGUCCCCAUCUGCCACUGUUGUGCUCGGUCAUGCAUGCAUGUGUCCCACAGGACCGGUCCCUUUCUUGAUAAAAAACCAACGUGUUCUUGUGCAAAUAUCAGAUUCUGGCAUUUUAUCUCCGGCUACGUAAUUCUGGCAUUCCUAGAUCCUGAGAGUAAGUACGUACAAAUACCAGCCAACGGCGCGGCGCUAUACUACGUGACAACGUACACGUGUAUGUACAAGAACAACUUAUACGUAUUUGGUUAAAAAAUAAAUUAAUCUGCUUAUCUUCAACAUCAUAUAUUUUGAGAACGGAAGGAGCACGCGGUGGUGUUGAAUCCUAAACAACGUAUGUACUACUUAUUACGUACCCAAAGCCAUUGGAGGCGUAGUAGGGGAGGUUGCUGAGGGCCGUCUCGUCGAUGUCGAACACCCACACCUCCUUGCCGUUGCCAGCGAGCUGGAGCCCCUCGGCGUACGCGACGGCCUCGUCGAUGACGACGCGGGAGUCCCUGCGGUAGUGCCCGCCGAGCAUGUAGUUGCCGACGUAGCGCUCGCACCUUGCCGGCACCGUCCUCCAGUCGCGCUUGUUGUUCGUCUCCACGGCCAGCCGCCAGCUGUCGCACGGCACGCCGCCGCGCCAGCCGAGGUCCCCGGCGGAGCCCACCAGCGGGCGCAGCGCGUGGAUCACCGGCGCCGCCACCUCCUCCUCGACGAAGCGCUCCGCGGCCGCCUGGACGGCCCGCGCCGCCGUCGGCAUCCGGAGGCCGCUCAGCUCCCACGCGCCGCCGCAGGAGGUGCUGCCGGCCACGAGGGCCACGAGAAGGACGAGCCUGGCUGUCG